CAUCUUUGUUCUUCAUCCCGAUCUCCGUUCUUCACGAGCUGUUUCGUGUUGUUUCGGUGGCAAUAAGGUUGGUCUUAUUAACAACAAUGAAACCAUAAAGUAUUUCGUGCUUUGCAGGAAGAUGCUUACAAGUGCCCCAGAAAGUAUUUCAUUCUCAUCGCCGUGAGGUACUCGUCAUACUCCUUUUUAGUCUUCCUUCCAAUACAAAGUUAUAUUGUCAUUUUGAAUUUUUGCUUUGUUACUGGAUAAAAACGAAGCCAAGAACUUCCAUUGAAGGAAAUUUCAUUAUUCAAAAUUUGAAUUUGCCGCAAGAAAUCUAGUUAUAAAAAGAGAACAAGAGAGGCACAAAACCUGUUCGCAAAAAGUCCAGAAAGGGAAAUCCCAAGUAUAUUCUUAUUCCAGAAGGAAAAGGAAUUCCGUGAAUGAUUAGGAACAAAGAGGUAGGUGAGGAUUCUUAGCAACACAAAAAUGGACUAGUACUAACAUUGAUAUUUCAGAGCAUUAUUUUGCAGAACUUGAACUUGGGAAUCAGUCCAAUUCGGUUACGUCGAAUUGGAUUUCAAGAGAAAAGGAAAAGUAAUAAAUAUCAAAGAAUUUGAGAACAGUUCAAUGGCACGAAUAGUGGCGGUGGUUCUGGGAAGCAUAAUGCAAUUGGAGUUAAAGCUGCUUCAUGGGAAAGAAAAAGAAAGAAAAAAAAUGCUGUAGCAAGUACCAAAGGGAGGAAGAAAAAAAUCCAAGCUUGGGUCGAAGGCAAAAGCUCAAUCUAAAAUGCUUUAGGUCCUUUGGAUCAAAUUAUACAUUCAAGUGAAAAUGUUGACACAAUGGAGCUACUCAAGCAUCUUCAUCAGAAGGUAAAAACUAUCCUGAUAUGUCUUUAGCACACUUAUCAAAUGUGAGAAUAUUCUGAUCCUUAUUGUCAAAGAAAGCUCAAACUAAUGGUAAGUAACUAGUACUACUUUGAUCCUAAUUGUCUGAUCUAAAUGAACCCCUCCUUGAAGACCAUAUUUUAAGAGCUUGUUAUAUGUGUAAAAUGGUGAAGGUACAACAAGCUUUUGCUUCUGUUACGGUUUUUUUUUUAAAGCCUUUCCUCCUCCUUGGCCCAGAGGAGUGGCGUUCGAGUUGCAUACCCGACCAGUGGAUGCGGAUGCAAGAACUAUUGCUGACGGGAAUGGCUUAACAUUCUGUAAAAGUUCCUCUUUGGCAAUCUAGUUUAAUUUUUUUGUAAACUUAUUGAUUGAUGAAUGAAUUGAACGAUCUUUAAUCA